rnacentral:rRNA from 1 species
AGAGUUUGAUCCUGGCUCAGGACAAACGCUGGCGGCAUGCCUAACACAUGCAAGUCGAACGGACAGAACAGGGAAGCUCUUCGGAGUGGAACUGGAAAGUUAGUGGCGGAUGGGUGAGUAACGCGUGGACAACCUACCUUGUAAAGGGGAAUAACCUCGAGAAAUCGAAGCUAAUACCCCAUAAUAACCUUGCUUCGCAUGAAGUAAGGAGGAAAGGCGGCCUUAGAGCUGUCGAUACAAGAUGGGUCCGCGUCUGAUUAGCUAGUUGGUGAGGUAAAGGCUCACCAAGGCGACGAUCAGUAGCCGGCCUGAGAGGGUGAACGGCCACAUUGGGACUGAGACACGGCCCAAACUCCUACGGGAGGCAGCAGUGGGGAAUCUUCCGCAAUGGGCGAAAGCCUGACGGAGCAAUGCCGCGUGAGUGAAGAAGGCCUUCGGGUUGUAAAACUCUGUCCUUAUCGAAGAGAGAGUGUUGUAGUAACUGACAAUACUAGGACGGUAGAUGAGGAGGAAGCCCCGGCUAACUAUGUGCCAGCAGCCGCGGUAAAACAUAGGGGGCAAGCGUUGUCCGGAAUCACUGGGCGUAAAGGGCGCGCAGGCGGUAAAUUAAGUCAGGUGUGAAAGUUCGGGGCUCAACCCCGUGAUUGCACCUGAUACUGAUAAACUAGAGUGUUGGAGAGGUAAGUGGAAUUCCUAGUGUAGCGGUGGAAUGCGUAGAUAUUAGGAGGAACACCAGUGGCGAAGGCGACUUACUGGCCAAUAACUGACGCUGAGGCGCGAAAGCGUGGGGAGCAAACAGGAUUAGAUACCCUGGUAGUCCACGC